UACGUAGGGGGCGAGCGUUGUCCGGAGUUAUUGGGCGUAAAGCGCGCGCAGGCGGUCUAGCCAGUCUGGAGUGACAGUUCCCGGCUUACCUGGGAAAGGUCUUCGGAAACUGCUAGACUUGAGGGACUCAGAGGGAGACGGAAUUCCAGGUGGAGCGGUGAAAUGCGUAGAGAUCUGGAGGAACACCAAAGGCGAAGGCAGUCUCCUGGGAGUUACCUGACGCUCAGGCGCGAAAGCCAGGGGAGCGGAACGGG
rnacentral:rRNA from 1 species